rnacentral:misc_RNA from 1 species
GCCCCCGCCCCACCCCCGCACGCACGCACGCACAUCCGCGCUCCGCUCCGUCUCCCAAUAUAUGCAACUGAAUUCUCCCUCGACUCUGAACCACGCACGCACGCUUCUUUUAUUCCCUCCAUACCAGAAUGAAGAGCGUGCAGGCAGAACGCGAUGAGCUACUGCUGUAUGCACUGCGACACCCGCCGCCAAACGUGAGCCUCAAGUUACCAGACGGCUGUGCGUCACUGGAGCACGUCGACCUCACAAGCUGCCCGAGUCCCACCACCCUCUACGCCGAGGCCGAGAGAGCAGCGCAGCACGCCAAGGGAAAGAAGGUGCCAAAGUUCGAGCUCGACUUGACGAAGUGCUUCACCGUUAUCGGCAGCAGCAGCGGCGGCGUCCAGCGAGCCAAAAACGCAGCGCCGACCAGCCGCAGCAAGCACUCGAGAUCCCCUCCAGAGCUGCCGGCGAAAAAAGAGGCAAAGCCCGAUCUACCCAAUGCUAAUCGCGGGUCGUACUCGACCAUUGAUGGCAGCAGCUCCUCACCGCAUGUAGCGGCGAAAAACGAUAGCUCCCAUUCGCCCGAUAAGCGCGGCGACAGCGGUAGUCCAAAACUGGCGGCAUCUGAGCAGUCGCCGCCGCGCCCUGUGCAGCCACCCCCGGGCGCUAGCAACAGCGCAGCGCAGGAGGGCAACAAGGGGCUUUUGGGCUUCCUCAUAGGGGCCUUAAAGGGCUUGGGCAGCGUCGAGGGAGCUGCUGCUGUUCCGGAUAGCGGGCGGCGGCUCUCCGGCAGCUCUGCUUCGACGACGAACGAUUCCCGCGCCUCCGCGGCUUCGAAGCGGCAAGGUACGCGGCCCGCCAGCGCAACGGGCAGCAGCACGGGCAAGAUUCUGUCGUCUGUGUGGAACCCGCUGUCCUCCUCCAUUCAAGGCGUGCGGCAGACCUCCCCCGUGACGAGCCUGCCAGGGGCUGCCAAGGAGGAGCUCAACGUGUCUGACGUGGCGCGGCUUAUGGAGCAGAUGCAGAUCCCGCUCUGCGGCACCACGCCGGGCACCAUUUCCUCAAACAUCGCGACCCAGUUCGGCACCGUCUUCGACGCCGCUGCACAGCAGCGCAAGAUGAACGAGGAGGCGACGGCGGCCGCCUUCAGCUUCCCGCGCCCACCGCACAUCCAGCUCUGCGAGGUACUCGACAGCGCACCUCUGGCGCCGUUCCUUGACAUUUUGCCCAUCUUCGCCUACGAGAGCCUCCUCCUGGCCACCGGUGUGCUGCUCACCCAGAAGCGGGACAUGUACGCGCAAGAGUUGGGCAACGUGUACCGGCGCGUUUUCAACAUCACGGAGGAGCAGCACACGCGGUCACUGGCGAACGUCACACCUCCCGCCCUGCGACGGGCGCUUGACGAUGGGGACGCGGUGGCGAAAGAGGAGCGCCGGCGGUACCUCUCCGAACUACGCCCGAAUGCGUCCACGCUCCGCUUGCUCUGUGAAAACUCCAACGACGACGAUUUCGUGAGCCGCGCCGAGCAGCUGCAGAGCGUAAUUGAGCGCUACCCGGACUUGCCGGGCGACACGCAAGUGCCGUUUGCCAUACGCGCAAUGGUGUUCGCCGCCUGUCUCAUUCCGCUGUACCACCGGGACCUCAGCACCCUCAGCCCCAUCUACAGCGCGAAGGACGUGGAGAGCUGCCUUGCGGCGCUGCGAGAGUACUUGAGCAUCCUGCCACAGACCGAGCACUUUUGCCACCUGCAUGCGCAGCUGCUGGCCAGCGACAAGGGCGGCAGCGUGGAGGCGCAGGCGGUGUUUCUAAAGGACUUGGCGCGCUCCAUCAGCCACUACGGCAUUUCCGGCAUCGCUAACGCACAGCUGACGCCGGCAGUGAAGUAUGCCUAUUACGUAAUGCAGGAGACCUUCUGCUUGGCAGCCGUGCCAAUGCCAUGGCUCGACUCCAGCUUCUCAGAUGACAUGCAGCGCAGUGCGACGGCGGCGUUCAUCGAAGCGUGCCUCGCCCUGCCGCCGUGCAUGCUGAGCGCGAUGGUGCUCGUCGACGAUAUGCCGGUGCUGCCUCCCACCUCGAGCAGCGAGGACAUUUUGUUGGCGCUCAUGGAGGUCUUCGUUAACUCUGGCGUGUUCCGCAGUUACGCCGAGCUGGUGGACGACAAUACGAACGUGCAACACCUCUCCGCCGCGACUUUGUUCCAGAUGGCCGGCAACAGCCUUGACACGAAGCAAAAGGCGUACUGCCAAAUGCUCACCCGAAGCUUCCCACUCGCGCCCAUGCUCAUCGUGCCUGGCCGGCUGCGCAUCGGCGCCUACAUCCUUCUUACGCGGCACUGGGGCGGUCUCUACCCUGGUGCCACCCAAAACGUGCCCAAGGACCACAAGGCGUCGCUUGAUGCCUUCCUCGACUACUUGCUAGACGGCUGCGACGGCGAGCGGCGCACAAGUGAGAGCAAGACACUGUGUGUCCUGCUGAAACGCGCCACACAGAGGUACCUAGCUCCGCUAGACACACUGGCUCAGUACGACGAGGCCGCACACGUGAAAUUUGCGAAGCAGCUCAUGGAGGAGAUCUCUCUGCCGUGGGCGGAUACGGUCGAGUGCGCGAGUGCGCCAUUGGGUGAUGUGAUGCGGUAUGUGCAGGCCGUCUUUGGCGCUCCACGGCCGCCACCCCUCGGGGGCGAUCCGGCGGCCCAGCAGUACGCCCGCAUGUGCAGUUGGCUCGACAUUGUGACGGCGCUGAUUGAGAAGUGCCUGGAAGGAUUUCCCACGGUGGCCGCGGCUGCCCCGAGCGACAAAAUGCCGGCCCUGGCGGCCGAAAGCGAGUGCGUGGGCAUCGCAUGUGCGAAGCUGUGCAGGUACCCGGCGCUGCUCCCUAGAGGCGUGCAUCGCCUGCAAACCCUGGUGCGGGUGCGGGAGGGCUUCGAAGAGUGUCUCAUGCGCUCGCGGCAGCAAUACGACCUGGUGCGACGUGUGACAGGUGCGCCGCCCGUGCCGACAGACGAGAUUACAGAGAAGAUCUGGCGGAAUCUGUACAGCGCCGUGCUGAAGCUGUGCAACAGCCUCAGCAUUUACAUUCUCACACAGUACUCUGUCAAGGACUUGAUGUCCAAGUUCAUGCAGUUGGAUGCGAAUCAGUACAAGUUGAUGAAGUGUAGCGCCGCCAAGCUGGAGGACUUGCCCAUGCCGCGCCUCUACCCCGAUGUGACGAUGCAGCGAAUUCUCGACGAGGUGCGCUGCGUGUUGGAUCGCGUUCGCGAAACGAUCAAUUUCGAGCCGGCGGUGCGUCAGCUGCGCUACCGCCUCGGCCACUACUUCACUGCGUGCCUCUUCGCCGUGUAUGUGGACGGAGCCGAGGUGUUUCUCAGCCCGGCUGAUGCGCCGCUCAUCCUCGCCGAUCUCGACAUCGUGCGUGCCUUCUUUUUCGAGCCGAGCGCGGACAAGCAGCGCACCCCGCCCACGGGGAGGGACCACUGCAACACAUUUCAAGGCGCGGCACAGGCGUUGCGUGUGUCCAGCGCGGAGCUGCUGGAAAAGCUCUACAGUGUCGUGCAGUACGUUAUGUCAAAGCCGUCCUCUGAGCUAGUUACCGGCGGUGCUGGCGUGCCGCCGCUGCACACGCUGCCCGAGUGCUCCGACAACUCCCCGUGGUGCCAGUACGUUGUCCGCCGCGUGCUGGAGCACCGCAAAGACUUCAAGAGCAGCAUGUGGGAGAGCUAUAAGGCACGUGUGCGGGCCAAGUAGAGAGCGUCUCUCUCUCCCUGUAUGCGUCGAGCUGCCUCGGCCCUUCUCCCGGCCGCCUCUCUUCUCUGUCCUUGGACACUAGUGUGUGCGCGCGUGGGCGUGGGUAUAGUUUUGCGCGUGUGUGCGUAUGCGAGUCGGUGUGCAAGGAUCGCGAGUGACCUGAGAAAGGGGGGUUGAUGAGGGGUGUGGCGGAAUUGUGUCCCACAGCUUCGCUUUCGCCUCCCCGCCCUCCCUUUACCGUUCUCCCUCCCACACACACACGCGCGCAGCUGUGGUGUGCGCGUAAUACCCGCGAUUGCUCUCUCCCUCUCCGUUGCCUCAACAGCCAACCAAGAGCAAGGAACAAUGGGCGUCCUCAGCCACACGCCGCACCCCUCUCCCUCUGCCUCUCUCUCUUGCUGACGGGCAUCUUCCAUGCGCCCGGUGUCGAUCUGUCCCCACCCUUCCUCCUCCGUGCUUCACCAUAUGGCCAUCCACCCCUCUUUCUUCACAUCCACACACACACAUAUAUAUAAAUAUAUUACAUAUACAUAACACACCCAUCCACGUUUAUGUGCGUGCACGCACUCCAAAACCAAACACGCAUCGCAG